GCCACACUGGAACUGAGACACGGUCCAGACACCUACGGGUGGCAGCAGUCGAGAAUCAUUCACAAUGGGGGAAACCCUGAUGGUGUGACGCCGCGUGGGGGAAUGAAGGUCUUCGGAUUGUAAACCCCUGUCAUGUGGGAGCAAAUUAAAAAGAUAGUACCACAAGAGGAAGAGACGGCUAACUCUGUGCCAGCAGCCGCGGUAAUACAGAGGUCUCAAGCGUUGUUCGGAAUCACUGGGCGUAAAGCGUGCGUAGGCUGUUUCGUAAGUCGUGUGUGAAAGGCGCGGGCUCAACCCGCGGACGGCACAUGAUACUGCGAGACUAGAGUAAUGGAGGGGGAACCGGAAUUCUCGGUGUAGCAGUGAAAUGCGUAGAUAUCGAGAGGAACACUCGUGGCGAAGGCGGGUUCCUGGACAUUAACUGACGCUGAGGCACGAAGGCCAGGGGAGCGAAAGGGAUUAGAUACCCCUGUAGUCCUGGCAGUAAACGGUGCACGCUUGGUGUGCGGGGAAUCGACCCCCUGCGUGCCGGAGCUAACGCGUUAAGCGUGCCGCCUGGGGAGUACGGUCGCAAGAUUAAAACUCAAAGAAAUUGACGGGGACCCGCACAAGCGGUGGAGUAUGUGGCUUAAUUCGAUGCAACGCGAAGAACCUUACCUGGGCUUGACAUGUAAUGAACAACAUGUGAAAGCAUGCGACUCUUCGGAGGCGUUACACAGGUGCUGCAUGGCCGUCGUCAGCUCGUGUCGUGAGAUGUUUGGUUAAGUCCAGCAACGAGCGCAACCCCUGUUGCCAGUUACCAGCACGUGAAGGUGGGGACUCUGGCGAGACUGCCCAGAUCAACUGGGAGGAAGGUGGGGACGACGUCAGGUCAGUAUGGCCCUUAUGCCCAGGGCUGCACACGUACUACAAUGCCCAGUACAGAGGGGGCCGAAGCCGCGAGGCGGAGGAAAUCCUGAAAACUGGGCCCAGUUCGGACUGUAGGCUGCAACCCGCCUACACGAAGCCGGAAUCGCUAGUAAUGGCGCAUCAGCUACGGCGCCGUGAAUACGUUCCCGGGUCUUGUACACACCGCCCGUCACAUCAUGGAAGCCGGUCGCACCCGAAGUAUCUGAAGCCAACCGCAAGGAGGCAGGGUCCUAAGGUGAGACUGGUAACUGGGAUGAAGUCGUAACAAGGUAGCCGUAGGGGAACCUGCGGCUG
rnacentral:rRNA from 1 species